rnacentral:snoRNA from 1 species
AGAUAUUUGCUUUCAGCUUAAUUGAAUAAUUUUUAUGCAUUGCA